GAGGUGCUAGAUUGAACUUUAAUUUCUGCUUCUCUUUAGUCUUAUACCAUUAAUUAAGUUAUUCAACUUCCAGGAGCUUCAUGUCCCUUAGUACUUGAAAAAGACUAGUAAUUUCCAUGCUCCUUAUGGUGCUGGCGGAGCCUAAGGGAAGAGCAAGGCCAUGCAUGAGAAAGAAUCACUUCCAAAUACUCCAGAAACAGUUAUUCAGUAUCUGCUUCAUGCCAGCUGAAUGCCAGGCACUGGGGGUGCAGACACACAUCAAGCAGACCCUGCCCUCCAGGAGUCUGUGACCUCACUGGACAAAAAGACAUGUCAACACCUACUUUCCUAAUUGGGCCACAGCUCUGAUCUAUAGCAACUACUUUGCAUUAAUUGUCUCAUGUAACACUACCCAUUAAGUACCAUCACCAGCUCCAUUUUACAGACAAGGAAACUGCAGCAAGAAGUUAAAGAACAAGGACGCAUUCAAGACCAAAGUAUAUACCCAAGAGAAAUGAAAAUAUCCAUGCACACAGAAACUUGUACACAAGUAUUUAUGCAACAUUAUUCAUACUAGUCAAAGACAGAAACAACUGAAAUGUCCAUUGAUGGAUAAACAAAAUGUGGUACAGCUAUGCAAUAGAAUAUUAUUUGGGGAGUUCCCAUCAUGGCUCAGCGGAAACGAAUCUGACUAGUAUCCAUGAGGACGAAGGAUCGAUUCCUGGCCUCUCUCAGUGGGUUAAGGAUCUGGCAUUGCUGUGAGCUGUGGUAUAGGUCAAAGAGGUGGCUCAGAUCUGGCCUUGCUGUGGCUAUGUUGUAGGUCUUUGGCUACAGCUCUGAUUUGACCCCUAGCAUGGGAAUUUCCAUAUGCUGUGAGUGUGGCCCAAAAAAAACAAAAAAAAAAAAAAAAACAGAAUAUUAUUUGGCCAUAAAAAGGAACAAAAUACUGAUGCAUGCUACAACUUGGAUGAAUCUUGAAAACAUGUAAAGUGAAAGAAGCCAGAAAUUCCAUACCCUGUGUUUUAUUUUAUAUGAUACAACCGUAACAGCGAAGUCCAUAGAGACAGAAGGUGGAUUAGAGAUUAUCAGGGGAGGGUCGAAGAAGAUGGGGAGUGACUACUUAAUGGCUAUGGGGUGUUUUGAGAUGUGAUGAAAAUAUUUAAAACUAGAGAGCUGGGGUUUGUAGAAUAUUGUAAAGACACUGAAUACCACUGAAUUGUGCGCUUUAAAUUGUCUCGUAUGUUGUGUGAAUUUCACCUCAAUAAAAGAGAAACAGGGACUGACAUUAUAAAUAGUAGAGGCUGGGGCUGGGACCUAAACCUGGGCAGUGGCUCAGAGCCUGUGAUCUAAUAGCUACAAGUCUUAUUGCCAAUAUCGUGUUUUCCAGUUCUGGGACUUCCAUUUAAUUAUUUUUUAUAGUUUCUAGUUUUCUGCUAAAAUUCUCAUCUGAUUUCCCAAAUGCAUCAAUCACAGUUAUUGGAGUUCCACCUCAAGCCCAGGGUUUUUAUCAAGGAACUCCCACCCUGGGUGAACCUCACUCCAAUUUUGGUUCCCCCAGACCUUGAGACGCCAAAGUUCUGCCAGCUUCUCAGCCUCUCAGCUGCCCCAGUCAGUACACUCUAUGAGGGGGAAAGACGGGAGGGGUGACCCCAUCCUAGCAAGCAAGAAGCACCAGCUGUCCCCCAUACCCCACCGUCUUGCUAUUGCUCAUCUGCCAACAUAGAUAAAGACUUCAAAAUUAAAAAGCAGUGGAGUUCCUGUCAUGGUACAGUGGAAACAAAUCUGACUAGGAACGAUGAAGUUGCAGGUUUGAUCCCUGGCCUCGCUCAGUGGGUUGAGGAUCUGGUGUUUCUGUGAGCUGUGGUAUAGGUUGCAGAUGCAGCUCAGAUUCUGUGUUGCUGUUGGUGCAGGCCAGCAGCUGCAGCUUUGAUUCAACCCCUAGCCUGGGAACUUCCAUAUGCCACUGGUGUAGCCCCAAAAAGACAAAAAAAAAAAAAAAGAAAGAAAGAAAAAAGGAAUCAGAGUAUGCACACUUGAGAGGGCAAGAAGCCAGACAAAAUUUGCAGAUACCAGAAAGAAAAUGGCUAAGGAAAAGGAAGCAAUAUUUGGGGACAAGAAACAAGUUCUGAGUUCCGUUUGAUGGGCCCCAGCUUUGAGGACAGGUAACUUUACCUCUUGGCCUCAGUGUCUUCAUUUGUAAAACGGGACUGAUAAAGGCAUUUGUGGCACCCUUGGGGCUGUUCCUAGGACUUUAGCCCUCAGCCUCUUUUCUCAUUUUCCUGGCUCCAAGCAGAACCUGAGACCUCGCCUGUUGGGGAAGGUUUGGUUCAGAGAGAGGAAAGCAAAGUUUCAGCCACCUGCACACCUGUCCUGAGUCAAGCCUCAUCUUCUUUUGGAAAGAACCUAGAUCCGGAGGCCAGACCCUGCAAAGGGGAGAAUGGAGAAGGUGCCUUCCCAGGCCAAGUGCAGAAUCUCUGCAAGUCCUCAUGGUCCCAUGGGGCAGCGAGGCCCUUCCUAGGCAACCCCCCCAAACUCAAAGGGUUCACUCAGUCCCUCAGUCCAUGCAUGGUUUUUUGUUUUUUUUAUUUUUGCCACACCUGCAGCAUGUGGAAGUUCUCAGGCCAGGGAUUGGACCCAAGCCACUGCAAUGACAAGGCUGGAUACUUAACCCACUGCGCUAUAAGGGAACUCCAGUCCAUGCAUGUUUACUGAGCACAUAGCUGUCUAUCAGGACUCUCCUGGUUGCUGGUGCCCAAAACCCAGCUGAAACUCUGAAAGCAAAAAAGGAAAUGAUUUUCCCUGUAACCAGAUAGUCCAAUAGUCCAAGGGGGUGACUGGGGCAUGUCUGGAUCCAGAGGCCUAGGUAACACUUUCUAGACCUGCCUCAUUGCUUCCAGGGCUCUGCCUCCCCCACUUCCCAUCCUACUGGCUUCCUUCUCAGGCAGGCUCUCCCCAUGUGGUCAUAAAGAUGCCCUCCAGCUGCUCCAGGCAGUCCUCCUCAGCUGUCCAACCUGGGAGAGAGCUCCUCUUUCCCAGAACUUCCAGCAAAAAUGCAGGACUGUUGCUCUGGUGACCCUGAUCUGCUCCCCCAGUCAGAGGAUGUGGGCCUCCCCUUGGGUGGCCCUAGACUGUACACUCACCCCACCCAAAGGGUACAGCCAGCCACCUCGCUGUUGAUAUGGAGAGGCAUCGAUGACAGAUUUACUGAGCCCUUACUCUGUGCCAGACACCUUUCCAAGUGCUGUAGAGGUAUUUAAACCUCACAGAACCCUGUGAGGUAAAUACCAUCAGGCAAGGGGAGGGUGGGGCAACAUAGAGGUUAGGGGACAGGAGGUGCCAACUACUGCUUAUAAAACAGGUUCAAGGAUGUAUUGUACAACAGGGGGAGGUAGAGCCAAUAUUUUGUACUAACUACAAAUGGAAAGUAACCUUGAAAAUUUAUGUAAAAAUUUUUAAAAAUAAAGAAAAAAGGAACAUACACACAAAAUACCAUCAGACAUGGAGUUCUCUUGCAGUGCAGUGAGUUAAGGAUCCAGCAUUGUCACUGCAGCAGUUUGGGUCUCUGCUAUGGUGUGGGUUCUGUGUGUCAGAGGCAUGGCCAAAAAAAAAAANAAAAAAAAAAAA
rnacentral:lncRNA from 1 species